AGAGUUUGAUCCUGGCUCAGAUUGAACGCUGGCGGCAUGCUUUACACAUGCAAGUCGAACGGCAGCACGGGCUUCGGCCUGGUGGCGAGUGGCGAACGGGUGAGUAAUGCAUCGGAACGUACCGUGUAGUGGGGGAUAACGUAGCGAAAGUUACGCUAAUACCGCAUACGCCCCGAGGGGGAAAGUGGGGGACCGCAAGGCCUCACGCUAUAUGAGCGGCCGAUGUCGGAUUAGCUAGUUGGUAGGGUAAAGGCCUACCAAGGCGACGAUCCGUAGCGGGUCUGAGAGGAUGAUCCGCCACACUGGGACUGAGACACGGCCCAGACUCCUACGGGAGGCAGCAGUGGGGAAUUUUGGACAAUGGGCGCAAGCCUGAUCCAGCCAUGCCGCGUGAGUGAAGAAGGCCUUCGGG
rnacentral:rRNA from 1 species